GUGAUUACUUGACUAACAAAUGUGCUGCAAACAAUGCAUGCAAAGUUUAGUAUUCCACAGCAAAUACAAUAUAAAACGACACGAUAAAAAAAUUCCAAAAAAAUUCUGAUUGAUUGUUAACAACUUGCCAUGCUGCUGGUGUUAGAACAACAAUACUCUCCCAAGCCAGGGGGAGAAAAGUUAAAAAGAAACCAUGCUGUUCCUAUAUGUCUUCAAGCUAUUCUAAUUAUGCAUCAUUUGACAUUAUUAAUCUGGUUAGAGGAAUUCACAAUGGCUUCCUACUUUGAACAAAAGAAUGCCAAGUGAUAUGAAACAAAGAACCUAUCAAAGUUAAUAAGAAGUGAACUCAAGGUAGCACACUGAUAAAAAGUGGUACCACAUGGCAACCAUUGUCACAUUAGACAAUCAGAAAGUGCAGCAUGUCAAAAACUAAGAGUUCACCAAACAGCA
rnacentral:misc_RNA from 1 species